ACGAACGCUGGCGGCGUGCUUAACACCUGCAAGUCGAACGCUGAAGCUUGGUGCUUGCACUGGGUGGAUGAGUGGCGAACGGGUGAGUAAUACGUGAGUAACCUGCCCUUGACUCUGGGAUAAGCCUGGGAAACUGGGUCUAAUACUGGAUACGACAUGCCACUGCAUGGUGGUGUGUGGAAAGGGUUUUACUGGUUUUGGAUGGGCUCACGGCCUAUCAGCUUGUUGGUGGGGUAAUGGCCUACAAAGGCGACGACGGGUAGCCGGCCUGAGAGGGUGACCGGCCACACUGGGACUGAGACACGGCCCAGACUCCUACGGGAGGCAGCAGUGGGGAAUAUUGCACAAUGGGCGGAAGCCUGAUGCAGCGACGCCGCGUGAGGGAUGACGGCCUUCGGGUUGUAAACCUCUUUCAGCACGGAAGAAGCGAGAGUGACGGUACGUGCAGAAGAAGCACCGGCUAACUACGU
rnacentral:rRNA from 1 species